rnacentral:tRNA from 1 species
AGUAAGAUGCCUGAAGAAAGGGUUAUUUUGAUGUAAUAAAUUAAGUGUAAAUCACUCUUACUA